GAAGUAAAAAUCGUAACAAGGUUUCCGUAGGUGAACCUGCGGAAGGAUCAUUACCUAGAGUUUGUAGACUUCGGUCUGCUACCUCUUACCCAUGUCUUUUGAGUACCUUCGUUUCCUCGGCGGGUCCGCCCGCCGAUUGGACAACAUUCAAACCCUUUGCAGUUGCAAUCAGCGUCUGAAAAAACAUAAUAGUUACAACUUUCAACAACGGAUCUCUUGGUUCUGGCAUCGAUGAAGAACGCAGCGAAAUGCGAUAAGUAGUGUGAAUUGCAGAAUUCAGUGAAUCAUCGAAUCUUUGAACGCACAUUGCGCCCCUUGGUAUUCCAUGGGGCAUGCCUGUUCGAGCGUCAUUUGUACCUUCAAGCUCUGCUUGGUGUUGGGUGUUUGUCUCGCCUCUGCGUGUAGACUCGCCUUAAAACAAUUGGCAGCCGGCGUAUUGAUUUCGGAGCGCAGUACAUCUCGCGCUUUGCACUCAUAACGACGACGUCCAAAAGUACAUUUUUACACUCUGACCUCGGAUCAG
rnacentral:rRNA from 1 species